GCACUUCUGGCUUUGCCCUGCUGCUGCGGCCAUUGUCAGGCCCCCGUGCAGCUGAGGCCCCUUCGGGCAGCCCCUCCGCAGAUCAGAUUUGGAGAUAACCGAGCCUGCGGCGGGGGCGGGAGGAGCUGGCCCGAGGCUCUGGGUGGGCCGGAGGUCGUGAAAUCCGGAGCCCCCCCCUCCGAGAGGCGGUGAUUCCGACUCCUGCCCCGAAGCCGGGCCCUGGCGAGGCAGGAAUGGCCCCGAGGCCUCCGACGGCCGCGCCCCAGGAAUCAGUGACAUUCAAAGAUGUGUCUGUGGACUUCACCCAGGAAGAAUGGUACCACGUCGACCCUGCUCAGAGGAGCUUAUACAGGGAUGUGAUGCUGGAGAACUAUAGCCACCUGGUUUCUCUUGAGUUCCUGAGGAUCAAGGACUAGUACUGACUUGUCCUUAGGAGGGUUCUUUGUCCACUUGCACAAACAACCAAAUCUUGUGUAUUUACCCAUGAGCAGGAUAUCAAGUUUCCAAGCCAGAGGUGAUCUUCAAAUUGGAGCAAGGAGAAGAGCCAUGGAUAUCAGAGGGAGAAAUCCAAAGACCUUUCUGUCCAGACUGGAAGACCAGGCCUGAAUUCAAAUCAUCACAUCUGCAGCAGGAUGUAUCCCACUGUACAGAUGAUCUCUCACGUGCUACAUUAGAAGACUCCUGGGAUGUUAGCAGCCAGUUAGACAGGCAACAAGAAAACUGGAAGAGACAUCUGGGAUCAGAGGCAUCCACCCAGAAGAAAAUAGUCACACCACAAGAAAGUUUUGAGCAAAAUAAAUUUGGUGAAAACUCAAGAUUGAACACUGAUUUGGUUACACAACUGAACAUUCCUGCAAGAAUAAGGCCUAGUGAAUGUGAGACCCUUGGAAGCAAUUUGGGACAAAAUGCAGACUUACUUAAUCAGAAUAAUAUUCCUGCAAAAAAGAAACCCUAUAAGUGUGAUAAAUGUAGAAAAGCCUUUAUUCACAGAUCAUCACUUACUAAACAUGAGAAAACUCAUAAAGGAGAGGGAGCUUUCCCUAAUGGAACAAAUCAGGGAAUUUAUCCUGGAAAGAAACACCACGAAUGUACUGACUGUGGGAAAACCUUUCUCUGGAAGACACAGCUUACUGAACAUCAGAGAAUUCACACUGGGGAGAAGCCAUUUGAAUGCAAUGUGUGUGGAAAGGCCUUCAGGCAUAGCUCAUCUCUUGGUCAGCAUGAGAAUGCCCAUACCGGAGAGAAACCCUAUCAGUGUAGUCUCUGUGGGAAAGCCUUCCAGCGCAGCUCCUCCCUUGUUCAACACCAGCGAAUUCACACUGGAGAGAAACCCUAUCGAUGUAAUCUAUGUGGGAGGUCCUUUAGGCAUGGCACAUCCCUCACUCAACAUGAGGUCACACAUAGUGGAGAGAAGCCCUUCCAGUGUAAGGAAUGUGGCAAAGCCUUUAGUCGAUGUUCUUCCCUUGUCCAACAUGAAAGGACUCAUACUGGAGAGAAACCUUUUGAAUGUAGCAUAUGUGGGAGGGCUUUUGGUCAGAGCCCAUCCCUUUAUAAACAUAUGAGGAUUCAUAAAAGAGGCAAACCUUACCAAAGCAAUAACUACAGCAUAGAUUUCAAGCACAACUCAUCUCUCACUCAAGAUGAAAGCACUCUUACUGAAGUGAAAUCCUACCAUUGUGAUGACUGUGGGGAAGACUUUAGUCACAUUACAGACUUUACUGACCAUCAGAGGAUCCAUACUGGAGAGAAUCCCUAUGAUUGUGACCAGGCUUUUAAUCAGCAAGCUAUUUCUCAUCCUGGAGAGAAACCCUAUCAAUGUAAUGUAUGUGGAAAAGCUUUCAAAAGGAGUACAAGUUUCAUAGAGCAUCACAGAAUUCAUACUGGAGAGAAACCCUAUGAAUGUAAUGAGUGUGGAGAAGCCUUUAGUCGACGCUCAUCGCUUACUCAACAUGAGAGAACCCACACUGGAGAGAAACCGUAUGAAUGUAUUGACUGUGGGAAAGCCUUUAGUCAAAGUUCGUCCCUCAUUCAGCACGAGAGAACUCAUACUGGAGAGAAGCCCUAUGAAUGUAACGAAUGUGGGAGAGCUUUCCGAAAGAAAACCAACCUGCAUGAUCAUCAGAGAAUUCAUACUGGAGAAAAACCCUAUUCUUGUAAGGAAUGUGGGAAAAACUUCAGCCGAAGUUCAGCUCUUACUAAACACCAGAGAAUUCACACUCGAAAUAAACUCUAGGAACCUUGAAGUUAACGAAUUUUCAGAAUGCUUUAGCUAACGUGUUGUUCUGAUUCAGGAUCAGAGGAUUCUUGAAGAGAGAGAGUUUGGGAAUGUAAUGAAUUAUGUGUGUGUUUGUAUGUUGUGUGUGGAGAAAACUGCCAAUAGAUAGAUGUUUUUUUUUUAUAUAAAUAAAAGCCACAUUCUCAGAUCUGAUUACAGACUGGUGUGAAAACAUUUACAUAUAUCGUAUGUAGCUGGUUGAAAAUUAAAUGUCUGUAUAUUGGACUUUAUAAAGCUUUUGAAUAUAUGUAUGCAGGAGAUCAUCAAGUUUCAACAUCUUGACUUAUAACCCCCAAUGUUAACAGCUUAAAAAAAAAUAAAUUCCUGCAGUAAUGACCAAAAAUCAUUUUAAAAAUUGCUUGACAACUGCACCCAACUGCAGCUCUUACAUUAACUUCACCGUGGAAACCAGUUCCACCUCCAGGAAGUCACCAUUCAAAGAAUUAGAUUAGCUAGCCCAACCGCUUCAUUGUACAGAUGAAGAGACUGAAAGCCAAAGAUGUGAAGUGGUUUCCACAGUAUGAUACAACCUAUAGGGGUAAAGCUGGGUUAAGAAUGCAGGUUUCCUGGAUUUGGGGCCCCAUGGCCUUGUCAGAGAAAAGGUAUUUUAGAACUCAGAGGGCUUUAAAAUAAAUUUUAAGAUAUAUCAGAUACCCAAACAUUUAAUGAGCACCUAUGGGUUGGACACUUUGGGAAUUCCUAAAAGCAUAAGUGGUAGCAAAAUGUAUGCAAAUUUAUCACAAACUGUUUAAAGCAACUUCUUGGAGGCGUACAAACCACAAUUUAACAGAAACUGUAGAUGGUUGAACUACUAGUGACUUUUUUUCCUUUUCCCAGUUACACUUAUUAUACUUUCAGCUAAUAUAUGCCAGUUUCACAGAACUAUUAAGUCCUCUUAUUGUGAUUUUUAUGGCAUGCCCAUGAAAAAGCACUAGCUUAAGCCUGCAAUAUCAGAUCAAUGGCAAAACAACACAAAACUAAGAGGAGAAUUUUCCCCUGUUAAUUUUAUUGUGGAAAAGUAUAAGUCUAAUUGCCCAUUGCCAUAAAUUUUGUCUUUUACUCAAUUUAGAGUAACACCAUAUACUGGCUCAUUUUGUGUGUAAAGAAAAUAUUUCGCCAUUAAAAAAAUUAACUUGGCUAGGUAUGGUGGCUCACACCUGUAAUCCCAGCGUUUUGGGUGACUAAGGCACAUAGACUGAGCCCAGGAGUCCAGGACCAGCCUGGACAACAUGGUGAAACCCCACCUCCUUAAAAAAAAUCCAAAAAUUAGUGGUACAUGGUGGCAUGCAGCUGUAGUCCCAGCUACUCAGGAGGCUGAGGUGGGAGGAUUGCUGGAACCCAGGAGUGGAGACUGCAGUGAGCUGAGGUCACAAUACUACACUCCAGCCUGAGCAACAGAGCAAGACCCUGACACACACAAGUCAACUAAAAUUUAGUUUUGUAAUACCUUUCCGUCAGCUAAGCUUCAGUGGCCACACCAUCCUGUAAUGCCUCCCAUGGACUAUCCUAAAGGAAUUUUUGGUCUGUUGACAUUGACCAUGCAGACAAAUUUGGGCACAACUGGACACUGAUCUCUUUUGUACAAGAGCUGCCUCCCAAAGAUAGGUAAAUUUUCCCAGCCCUAAAUAUGAAUUGUGGGGCAAGAUGAUAUUAGUGGUAUUAAUGGUGAACCUUUCCUACUGGCUUCUUUGCUUGCCUUUCUCUCAUCCUGGAUGGCAUGAGGCAGCACCAAAACAUUCUUCAUUCUUUGCAGGGAAAAAAAAAUGUGCAUGGGGGCUGAAAUAUAGUAUGUAUAGCUCUAUUAGUCUGUCCUCUGUGAUGCAAAAUGAAAUAUUCCAUAGCAGAUCUGCCCUUCUGAGAUGCUGACCAUCCAAAAACCCUUGUUUUUGGUACUCCAUGAUUAGGUCAUACACUGUGCCAAGGCCAUACUUGUAUUGUCUGAUAACAUAGCUUGACAAUGGGUAAUUCUACUCACACCCUCCCUACUGAUUGGCUAGGAUGCCUGUCAGGAACUCAUUUUGCUACUGGUUGUUUGGGGGUCCCCAUAGUGAACUGCUUUCAGGAAUGGCAAGAAUUGUAACCAAUUGAGUGCUGCCCCCACUGUUAAUGGAAGUUUAUAAAAACUUAGUUCCAGAAGAUCCAAAGGAGACCACUGGUUUAAGUUUGGAGCCUGGCCUAGAUCCAACCACCAUCCUCUGAACUGCAGCACAUCAUCAUUGACAGGGAGGGAGCUUAGGAUGUAUGUGUGGCUCAUUGACAAGGUUUUCUUUUUUUUUUUUUUUUUUUUUCCACUUAAGAUUUCAGAGGACAGAAGGUUUUCUUAGUCCCAGCAGCCAUACACUAUGCACUUAUAGAUACCCACCCUUUUAGGGCUAUGUGAAAUGCAUCCUUGUAACAUCAUUGUAUUCUUUCAAUAAAUAGCUUUCUGAGUU